rnacentral:rRNA from 1 species
GUACCUGGUGGCGAGCGGCGGACGGGUGAGUAAUGCCUAGGAAUCUGCCUGGUAGUGGGGGAUAACGUUCGGAAACGAACGCUAAUACCGCAUACGUCCUACGGGAGAAAGCAGGGGACCUUCGGGCCUUGCGCUAUCAGAUGAGCCUAGGUCGGAUUAGCUAGUUGGUGAGGUAAUGGCUCACCAAGGCGACGAUCCGUAACUGGUCUGAGAGGAUGAUCAGUCACACUGGAACUGAGACACGGUCCAGACUCCUACGGGAGGCAGCAGUGGGGAAUAUUGGACAAUGGGCGAAAGCCUGAUCCAGCCAUGCCGCGUGUGUGAAGAAGGUCUUCGGAUUGUAAAGCACUUUAAGUUGGGAGGAAGGGCAGUUACCUAAUACGUAAUUGUUUUGACGUUACCGACAGAAUAAGCACCGGCUAACUCUGUGCCAGCAGCCGCGGUAAUACAGAGGGUGCAAGCGUUAAUCGGAAUUACUGGGCGUAAAGCGCGCGUAGGUGGUUCGUUAAGUUGGAUGUGAAAUCCCCGGGCUCAACCUGGGAACUGCAUUCAAAACU